UAAAACCUUUUGCUGAAUCCACUAUGUGGAGCGGGGGACCCAUUUUUGUAGCAUUUGCUACUUGGGGCGAAUCUUUUUAAGUAGGGAAACUCUCACUUCCCGAGUCCGACAGCUAACCUCGUAAGCGUAAUGGGAGAGGGA
rnacentral:sRNA from 20 species